rnacentral:rRNA from 1 species
UACGAGGGGGGCAAAUGUUGUUCGGAAUUACUGGGCGUAAAGGGCGCGUAGGCGGUCUUCUAAGUCUUGUGUGAAAUCCCUCGGCUCAACUGAGGAACUGCACGGGAUACUGGAAGACUUGAGUUCGGGAGAGGGAAGCGGAAUUUCGGGUGUAGCGGUGAAAUGCGUAGAUAUCCGGAGGAACACCGGUGGCGAAGGCGGCUUCUUGGACCGAUUACUGACGCUG